rnacentral:rRNA from 1 species
GACGAACGCUGGCGGCGUGCUUAACACAUGCAAGUCGAACGAUGAAGCCGGAGCUUGCUCCGGUGGAUUAGUGGCGAACGGGUGAGUAACACGUGAGCAAUCUGCCCUUGACUCUGGGAUAACUGCGGGAAACUGUAGCUAAUACCGGAUACGACACCUUGGGGCAUCCCAGGGUGUGGAAAGAAUUUCGGUCAAGGAUGAGCUCGCGGCCUAUCAGCUAGUUGGUGAGGUAAUGGCUCACCAAGGCGACGACGGGUAGCCGGCCUGAGAGGGUGACCGGCCACACUGGAACUGAGACACGGUCCAGACUCCUACGGGAGGCAGCAGUGGGGAAUAUUGCACAAUGGGCGAAAGCCUGAUGCAGCAACGCCGCGUGAGGGAUGAAGGCCUUCGGGUUGUAAACCUCUUUUAGCAGGGAAGAAGCGAAAGUGACGGUACCUGCAGAAAAAGCACCGGCUAACUACGUGCCAGCCGCCGCAGUAA